rnacentral:rRNA from 2 species
UGGUAUUGAUUGGUGCUUGCAUCAUGAUUUACAUUUGAGUGAGUGGCGAACUGGUGAGUAACACGUGGGAAACCUGCCCAGAAGCGGGGGAUAACACCUGGAAACAGAUGCUAAUACCGCAUAACAACUUGGACCGCAUGGUCCGAGUUUGAAAGAUGGCUUCGGCUAUCACUUUUGGAUGGUCCCGCGGCGUAUUAGCUAGAUGGUGGGGUAACGGCUCACCAUGGCAAUGAUACGUAGCCGACCUGAGAGGGUAAUCGGCCACAUUGGGACUGAGACACGGCCCAAACUCCUACGGGAGGCAGCAGUAGGGAAUCUUCCACAAUGGACGAAAGUCUGAUGGAGCAACGCCGCGUGAGUGAAGAAGGGUUUCGGCUCGUAAAACUCUGUUGUUAAAGAAGAACAUAUCUGAGAGUAACUGUUCAGGUAUUGACGGUAUUUAACCAGAAAGCCACGGCUAACUACGUGCCAGCAGCCGCGGUAAUACGUAGGUGGCAAGCGUUGUCCGGAUUUAUUGGGCGUAAAGCGAGCGCAGGCGGUUUUUUAAGUCUGAUGUGAAAGCCUUCGGCUCAACCGAAGAAGUGCAUCGGAAACUGGGAAACUUGAGUGCAGAAGAGGACAGUGGAACUCCAUGUGUAGCGGUGAAAUGCGUAGAUAUAUGGAAGAACACCAGUGGCGAAGGCGGCUGUCUGGUCUGUAACUGACGCUGAGGCUCGAAAGUAUGGGUAGCAAACAGGAUUAGAUACCCUGGUAGUCCAUACCGUAAACGAUGAAUGCUAAGUGUUGGAGGGUUUCCGCCCUUCAGUGCUGCAGCUAACGCAUUAAGCAUUCCGCCUGGGGAGUACGGCCGCAAGGCUGAAACUCAAAGGAAUUGACGGGGGCCCGCACAAGCGGUGGAGCAUGUGGUUUAAUUCGAAGCUACGCCGAAGAACCUUACCAGGUCUUGACAUACUAUGCAAAUCUAAGAGAUUAGACGUUCCCUUCGGGGACAUGGAUACAGGUGGUGCAUGGUUGUCGUCAGCUCGUGUCGUGAGAUGUUGGGUUAAGUCCCGCAACGAGCGCAACCCUUAUUAUCAGUUGCCAGCAUUAAGUUGGGCACUCUGGUGAGACUGCCGGUGACAAACCGGAGGAAGGUGGGGAUGACGUCAAAUCAUCAUGCCCCUUAUGACCUGGGCUACACACGUGCUACAAUGGAUGGUACAACGAGUUGCGAACUCGCGAGAGUAAGCUAAUCUCUUAAAGCCAUUCUCAGUUCGGAUUGUAGGCUGCAACUCGCCUACAUGAAGUCGGAAUCGCUAGUAAUCGCGGAUCAGCAUGCCGCGGUGAAUACGUUCCCGGGCCUUGUACACACCGCCCGUCACACCAUGAGAGUUUGUAACACCCAAAGUCGGUGGGGU